rnacentral:lncRNA from 1 species
AAAAAUAAAGAACACAUAAAUUUUACGUGGAAACCCUUUCGGGAAAAAACCACGGGAAGAGGAGAAGAAAAUUCACUAUGUCGAAAACUUAAUUACAAGAGGAGUAGACUAUGCCUAUUUAUAGGCUUGUAAACCUUAUUCUAAUAGGAGUGAAACUCCUUAUUCAAAUAAUAUCAAAUAGAUGGAGUUUAAUAAGGUUUAGAAACCUUAUUCUAAAAUAAAAUAAAAGAAGUAUAAUUCUAUAGGGAUUUUACUUUUAUUUUAUUUUACC